rnacentral:rRNA from 1 species
CAAUAGCGUAUAUUAAAGUUGUUGCAGUUAAAAAGCUCGUAGUUGGAUUUCUGGUUGGAGCGACCGGUCGGGCAUUGAUUUGUCUGCACUGGAGUCGGUUCCGUCCAUCCUCCUGGAAAGUGCGUAUGGCAUUAAGUUGUCGUGCGUAUGAUCCAGGUCUUUUACUGUGAAAAAAUUAGAGUGUUUAAAGCAGGCCUUCGCCUUGAAUACAUUAGCAUGGAAUAAUAAGAUAGGACUUGGGUCUAUUUUGUUGGUUUGCAGACCGAAGUAAUGAUUAAUAGGGAUAGUUGGGGGUAUUUAUAUUCCGAUGUCAGAGGUGAAAUUCUUAGAUUUUCGGAAGAUAAACUUAUGCGAAAGCAUUUACCAAGGAUGUUUUCAUUA